GCACCGUAGCACUGGAUAUUUUCCCGCGUGCCGCCUCCGCCGCCGGCUAGCUCCUCCUCCGCGUCGAGGCCGGGCAAGACUGAGCGCGGGCCAUAGAGAUGCGAGGUUGCUAAGCUGUCCGCGGUGUCCAUCCAUCUACGGCGCCGUCGUCGUCGUGCUCCCGUCGAGAGAUGCUCGAGCGCCGGGAGAGGAAUCCACGUCUGCUCCUGCUCGACCGCUUCUAAAUCGAGGGACACCUGCUUCUGCUCGCUAUGGAGGCCGCUGCUCUGAUCCGACCCUGCAUCAUGUAAUGAGCGGCCUGCAGGUUAUGACAUACCAAAAAUAUGGAAGAUUCGGAUAUUGUGCCAGCACCUGAGCUCAUUGAAGUGCUUUUCAUAACUGCGAAGGACAGGUUGAUCAUUGGGUUGAGCGAUAUCUCAGGCUUAUGAUUGAUAGGCUCCGUCGAGCAGAGAAGCCAUAUCUGAAAUCUCUCCUUGUACAAGUGGUAGGAAAUGUGCAUGUUCCCUUCUCUAUUUGUUCCAAAACAUGCUCCCCAGCAAAGGUCUAUCAUAGUCUGUAUGAUUUGAUUUUGCUA